rnacentral:rRNA from 1 species
UAGUCCACGCCGUAAACGAUGAGAACUAGAUGUUGGGAGGGUUUGCCUUUCAGUGUCGCAGCUAACGCACUAAGUUCUCCGCCUGGGGAGUACGCCGGCAACGGUAAAACUCAAAGGAAUUGACGGGGACCCGCACAAGCGGUGGAGCAUGUGGUUUAAUUCGAUGCAACGCGAAGAACCUUACCUGCCCUUGACAUACAGCGAACUUUCCAGAGAUGGAUUGGUGCCCUCGGGAACGCUGAUACAGGUGCUGCAUGGCUAUCGUCAGCUCGUGUCGUGAGAUGUUGGGUUAAGUCCCGCAACGAGCGCAACCCUUGUCCUUAGUUGCCAGCACGUAAUGGUGGGAACUCUAAGGAGACCGCCGGUGACAAACCGGGAGGAAGGUGGGGACGACGUCAAGUCAUCAUGGCCCUUAUGGGGCAGGGGCUACACACGUGCUACAAUGGGUCGGUACAGGA